UUCCUAACUGAGGACGCAAGUUCUUAGCUGACAGUGGGAAGUAGGGUCAAACUGAUUGCUCACUGCAGAAAGCUGAAGGUGUAGGUAGCACUUCGACUCUUCAGAGUGAGGCCAUGGGAGUAGUGCUUAAAUCACAUGGCAA
rnacentral:sRNA from 1 species